UACAUGGGGUGCAAACGUUGCUCGGAAUCAUUGGGCGUAAAGCGCGCGUAGGCGGCUGGACAAGUCAAAGGUGAAAUCCCUCGGCUCAACUGAGGAACUGCCUUUGAAACUGUCCGGCUUGAGGCCGGGAGGGGGUAGCGGAAUUCCCAGUGUAGCGGUGAAAUUCGUAGAUAUUGGGAAGAACACCGGUGGCGAAGGCGGCGACCUGGUCCGAUACUGACGCUGAGGCGCGAAAGCGUGGGGAGCAAACAGG
rnacentral:rRNA from 1 species